UUGAACUUGAAGGUCAACAUCUUUUUCUUCUGGGCUCAAAGGAGUUUUGAGAGGGACAAAGAACCAGGACAAGAAAGGUAACAGAACCACACCAGCCUCAGUUUCUCCGAGGACCUACGCAACAGUGGAGGCAUUGUCAUCUGUGUCCAAUUCCAAGAAAUGUUCAAGAAGGAAGAGCAGACUGACCGCCUGCACGUUUCUGAGGGAGUCCAUGGGAGGGCACCAGGGCAUAGCUUGUUCUGGAACCCCGGCGAGGCGGCGCUGCUGUCAUUUGGUCCGGCCACAUUCUCAAGGUGAGUUAUCAAAGAAACAACUU
rnacentral:lncRNA from 1 species